UUGACUGAUGCAACACUAACUAUUGGAUUGUACAUACCCUAGUUUACAGGGGCAAUAGCCAUUUUUCUUUCAGGGAAACGUAAGAAUUUUCAUUUUUCAGACAACCACAAUAUUUGACAGCAUCUGAUUGAUCCAUAUGAUAACAACGUCCACAACAUAUUUAUAACCAUCUUACAACAGGAAAUUAAAAACACACAUGAAUGGCUAACCACAACAGUUGUUCUUCUGCUGGAUUGGCUGCCCCUUCAUUUGAACAGUUGUUCCUGUUGACUUGCUUGCAGCUGGCUGGCUACCCAUUUUUUU
rnacentral:misc_RNA from 1 species